rnacentral:rRNA from 1 species
AUAAAAUUUAUUUAUUAAUUAAUUUAUUGUUUAAAUUAAUUUAUUAAAAAUAAUUAUAGAUAUUAAUUGUUUUAGUAUUUUUUAAUGAAAAAAUAAAUUUUAUUAUAGUUAAAUAGUAUUGUGAAAGAAAAUUUAAAUAUCUUGAAAAAUAAUAUAUUUAAAAAGAAAAUUUAAUUUAUUGUACCUUGUGUAUCAGGGUUUAUUAAUUAAAAAUUAAUUAUAUAAUUUUCUCGAUUUUAAAAGAGUUAAUAUAUUAUAAAAGUUAUUGUGAUAAAAUUAUUUUUAAUAAUAUAUUAGUAAUGAAAGGUUAUUCGUUUUUAAAGGUAUCUAGUUCUUUAAGAAAUAAAUUUAAUUUAAAAAUUUUGUAUUAUUUAAUUAAAUUAUUAAUUAAAUAAUUAUUUAAUUUUAAUAUUUUAUGGGAUAAGCUAUAAAAUAAAUUUUUAAAAAUAAAUAAAUUAAAAAUAAAAAUAUAAAUUUAGAAAUAGUUAUUAUUAAUAAAAAUGUUAUAAUUUAUUUUAUAUUAUUAAUUAUUUAUUAAAUUUUAAAUAUUUAUUAAAGUGUUUUUUUUAAUUUUAAAAAUAAACUAAUAAUGAUAAAAUUAGUAUAUAAUUAAUUUAAUAAUAAGAUUAAAUGAUAAGUUAUUAUAAAGAAUUCGGCAAUAUUAAUAUUUGCCUGUUUAACAAAAACAUGUCUUUUUUGAUUUUUUAAAAAGUCUAGCCUGCCCACUGAAUUAUUUAAAUGGCCGCAGUAUAUUAACUGUGCAAAGGUAGCAUAAUCAUUAGUCUUUUAAUUGAAGGCUGGUAUGAAUGGUUGGACAAAAUAUUAACUGUUUCAUAAUAAUUUAUAAUAAAAUUUUAUUUUUUAGUCAAAAAGCUAAAAUUUAUUUAAAAGACGAGAAGACCCUAUAAAUCUUUAUAUUUAAAUUAUAAUAAUUUUUCAGAAGGGUUUAAUUGUUAUAAUCUAUAAUAUUUUAUUGGGGUGAUAUUAAAAUUUAAUAAACUUUUAAUUUUUAUUUACAUUAAUUUAUGAAUAAUUGAUCCAUUAUUAAUGAUUAAAAAAAUAAGUUACUUUAGGGAUAACAGCGUAAUUUUUUUGGAGAGUUCAUAUUAAUAAAAAAGAUUGCGACCUCGAUGUUGGAUUAAGAUAUAGUUUUAGGUGUAGUUGCUUAAAUUUUAAGUCUGUUCGACUUUUAAAUUCUUACAUGAUCUGAGUUCAAACCGGUGUAAGCCAGGUUGGUUUCUAUCUUUAAAAAAUUAAAAUAUUUCAGUACGAAAGGACCUUAUAUUUAAUAAAUUAUUAUUUAAUUAAUUGAAUUUGAUUAAUUUUUAUUAAAUUUAACUAUUUUGGCAGAUUAGUGCAA